rnacentral:rRNA from 1 species
UACGUAGGUGACCAGCGUUGUCCGGAUUUACUGGGCGUAAAGGGCGCGUAGGCGGCCUACUAAGUCGGACGUGAAAUCCCCGAGCUCAACUCGGGAACUGCGUCCGAUACUGGCAGGCUUGAAUUCGGGAGAGGGAUGCGGAAUUCCAGGUGUAGCGGUGAAAUGCGUAGAUAUCUGGAGGAACACCGGUGGCGAAGGCGGCAUCCUGGACCGGCAUUGACGCUGAGGCGCGAAAGCCAGGGGAGCAAACGGG